CCUACGGGUGGCAGCAGUGGGGAAUAUUGGGCAAUGGGCGCAAGCCUGACCCAGCAACGCCGCGUGAAGGAAGAAGGCUUUCGGGUUGUAAACUUCUUUUCUCAGGGACGAAGCAAGUGACGGUACCUGAGGAAUAAGCCACGGCUAACUACGUGCCAGCAGCCGCGGUAAUACGUAGGUGGCAAGAGUUAUCCGGAUUGACUGGGUUUAAAGGACGUGUAGGCGGGAAAGCAAGUCAGAUGUGAAAACCAUGGGCUCAACCUGCUGCCUGCAUUUGAAACUGUUUUUCUUGAGUACUGGAGUGGCAGACGGAAGUCCUAGUGUAGCGGUGAAAUGCGUAGAGAUUAGGAGGAACACCAGUGGCGAAGGCGGUCUGCUGGACAGCAACUGACGCUGAGGCGCGAAAGCGUGGGGAGCAAACAGGAUUAGAUACCCUUGUAGUC
rnacentral:rRNA from 1 species